rnacentral:rRNA from 1 species
AGUCAACAUGCCCAGAGGACGUGGAUAACCUCGGGAAACUGAGGAUAAACCGCGAUAGGUCAUAAUUACUGGAAUGUGUUAUGGCCCAAAUCUAUAUGGCCUCUGGAUUGGACUGCGGCCGAUCAGGCUGUUGGUGAGGUAAUGGCCCACCAAACCUUUUACCGGUACGGGCUCUGAGAGGAGAAGCCCGGAGAUGGGCACUGAGACAAGGGCCCAGGCCCUAUGGGGCGCAGCAGGCGCGAAACCUCUGCAAUAGGCGAAAGCCUGACAGGGUUACUCUGAGUGAUUCCCGCUAAGGGAAUCUUUUGGCAUCUCUAAAAAUGGUGCAGAAUAAGGGGUGGGCAAGUCUGGUGUCAGCCGCCGCGGUAAUACCAGCACCCCGAGUGGUCGGGACGAUUAUUGGGCCUAAAGCAUCCGUAGCCGGUCUUGCAAGUCUUCCGUUAAAUCCAGCUGCUUAACAGAUGGGCUGCGGAGGAUACUACAAGGCUAGGAGGCGGGAGAGGCAAGCGGUACUCAGUGGGUAGGGGUAAAAUCCUCUGAUCCAUUGAAGACCACCAGUGGCGAAGGCGGCUUGCCAGAACGCGCUCGACGGUGAGGGAUGAAAGCUGGGGGAGCAAACCGGAUUAGAUACCCGGGUAGUCCCAGCUGUAAACGAUGCAGACUCGGUGAUGGGCCGGCUUUAUGCCGGCUCAGUGCCGCAGGGAAGCCGUUAAGUCUGCCGCCUGGGGAGUACGGUCGCAAGACUGAAACUUAA